AACGAACGCUGGCGGCAGGCUUAACACAUGCAAGUCGAACGCCCCGCAAGGGGAGUGGCAGACGGGUGAGUAACGCGUGGGAAUCUACCGUACCCUACGGAAUAACGCAUGGAAACGUGUGCUAAUACCGUAUACGCCAUAAGGGGGAAAGGUUUAUCGGGGUAUGAUGAGCCCGCGUUGGAUUAGCUAGUUGGUGGGGUAAGGGCCUACCAAGGCGACAAUCCAUAGCUGGUCUGAGAGGAUGAUCAGCCACAUUGGGACUGAGACACGGCCCAAACUCCUACGGGAGGCAGCAGUGGGGAAUAUUGGACAAUGGGCGCAGGCCUGAUCCAGCCAUGCCGCGUGAGUGAUGAAGGUCUUAGGAUUGUAAAGCUCUUUCACCGGAGAAGAUAAUGACGGUAUCCGGAGAAGAAGCCCCGGCUAACUUCGUGCCAGCCGCCGCUGUAAGAC
rnacentral:rRNA from 1 species